GGAUUAGAUACCCUGGUAGUCCACGCUGUAAACGAUGAGUACUAGCCGUUAGAGCUAUAAAGAGCUUUAGUGGUGAAGCUAACGUAUUAAGUACUCCGCCUGGGGAGUACGGUCGCAAGAUUAAAACUCAAAGGAAUUGACGGGGGCCCGCACAAGCGGUGGAGCAUGUGGUUUAAUUCGAUGCAACGCGAAGAACCUUACCUGCACUUGACAUACCUGGGACCAGUCGUAAUGGAUUAGGUGCCGUAAGGAGCCAGGAUACAGGUGCUGCAUGGCUGUCGUCAGCUCGUGCCG
rnacentral:rRNA from 1 species